UGUCCCUCUCCACAGCACCCAAGGGAGAAGGGCAGGGAUGUGCUUUAGGAAUCCAAAGUGCCACUUUUUGGCAAAGGGAAUUAUUUGCCAUUUCUGCCUGUGCCAGAUAAUCUGAAUUUCCCCUAAGACUUGCUGCAGUGAUUGACUAGGGACUAUUUUAAACAAAUUUCUAGGAAUUUAAGCAAAAUUUCCUGCAGGAUUUUCCAGCAAGGCUCACCUGAGAGGAGUGGUGGCCUUAGGAAAGUCUACUUUUCAUCACAGGUGAUAACUCCUGUCUUGUUUCCCCGUUGAAAAUACCACUCAGCCCUUAAAGCUGUCAUUGUACCAUAACUGGCAUUCCCCUAAAACCCCACAGGACAUUGUGGGCAGCCAAGUAAAUUAGUAAAUCAGUAAAUUAGUAAAUCAGUAAAUCAUUAAAUUUGGCUCCUUGGAAAAUGUUCUUGAAAAAUUCAUGUUUUGAUUUUACAGCAGAAUCCAACAGAUCCAGAAAUCACUGGAGAGCAGCAGUUGGCUUCUUUUGUUUUUCCUCUUUCCUUUGCACAGAAGACAGCUGGAAUACCAGGAAACCCUUAUUCACCAGAGAAAGAGUCUGGGGCUGUUUUUUCAGUGAUGUUGGACCAUCCCAGCACCACAGAGUGGGGCUCUGUUUUCUGUGCUCAUGGAAACUGCUCUGAUCAGGCGCUGCCUGCACUUCCUCUGUCUCCCAGGCACUCGAUUUCAUCACUGAGUUACUGAAGAAGGCUAAAAAUCCAAGCAACAAACACCAGGAGUGGCAAGGAAUGAGGUGAGAGUUUGAAGAGCUUUUGGUAUAGUAAGUCUGGAAUUUGUUUAAGGCUUUCUGAAGUGUAAUUUGAACGGGACAGGGGAUCCUUCCUGCUUUCCUUUCUUGUUUCAGUUUCCUGACCGAGUUACCAGUAGUUCUUCACACAAACAGAGGGACAAUAGAGGAACACGAGGCAGGGGCUGAUUUCUCUCCCAGAGCACUGUGGUCCUAAAGUUGUUCACAUCCUGAUCACUGCCUGAUGUGGAGCUGCCCCUGGGUCUGGCAAUGCAUUCAUUUCCCCUCUCUGUGUGUGAUUUUUGGGUACCUUUCUUAUCUUUUUGUCGAUUCAAUUUUUUUUUUCAAGACUCUGUGCCAGAAAUUUGGCUGCAGGAAAGCCACAGGAUCAUUUAUUCCUCACUGUCUGAUUUGACAUUGAGUUUGCUUCUCUCUCCCGAGGCUCAAAGACAAGAAAGCCAAUACCCAGAAUUACCCCUGGACUCCUGUAAGUUCUGCAGAUUUCCUGGAUUAUUGAUAUAAUUUUCCUCAUUGAUUGGAUGUCUCAUUGAACCCAGCUCUCUCUUCCCUCUGUCUCCAUUAAAUCACUUUAUUCUCCAUUCUCCCCAUUCCCCUUAAGCUCCCAGCUUUGAUAAGUCAUCCCUCAUCAGCUGAUGGUGGAAACCACAUCUCCCAUUAACCUUUUCUCACUUUGACCUCCCUCCUCCCAGAGAGGACUCCAGGACAGUCAUUUCUUGGGCUUCGCCUCAUCAGGGGGCUCCAGAUAAGACAGAGCUGGGCCGAAAGCUCUGCCUGGGCUGAAACCAAAGCCCUGCCCAAGUUCCCCCUCUGCCUGGGCGAAGGGCAAGCAGACACGACAAGUUCUGGGAUUUCUGUAGUCAAACGUGUCCCUUAGCAGAGGGGAGGAGGGGAACCCCGCUGCACAAGUCACAAGUUGAGUUUCUUCAAUUUCGAGUUCCUCCACGCUUCUUUCAUCAAUCGAAGCCUCAUUAACGAAGGCGCCCCUCAAAUCAAAGUGCCCUCUGCGGGCUCUGUUUUGCUGCUCGUGUUCCCGUUUAGAGACGGCGGCGGUGUCACAGCCUGUCCCUGUCCCUGAGUCACCCUGGCACUCCUGCCCUGCCCCGGGGCCGGGGAUUACGGGAUCCCUGUGUCAGCACAGGGGAACGCCGCAGGCAGCCCGAGGGGCUCAGCAGAGCCCUGGGGAGGUGCCACCGUCCCCGCAGGGUCG